rnacentral:rRNA from 1 species
AUUGAACGCUGGCGGCAGGCUUAACACAUGCAAGUCGAACGAUGACUAACUAGCUUGCUAGUUAUGAUUAGUGGCGGACGGGUGAGUAACAUUUAGGAAUCUGCCUAGUAGUGGGGGAUAGCUCGGGGAAACUCGAAUUAAUACCGCAUACGACCUACGGGUGAAAGGGGGCGCAAGCUCUUGCUAUUAGAUGAGCCUAAAUCAGAUUAGCUAGUUGGUGGGGUAAAGGCCCACCAAGGCGACGAUCUGUAACUGGUCUGAGAGGAUGAUCAGUCACACCGGAACUGAGACACGGUCCGGACUCCUACGGGAGGCAGCAGUGGGGAAUAUUGGACAAUGGGGGAAACCCUGAUCCAGCCAUGCCGCGUGUGUGAAGAAGGCCUUUUGGUUGUAAAGCACUUUAAGCAGGGAGGAGAGGCUAAUGGUUAAUACCCAUUAGAUUAGACGUUACCUGCAGAAUAAGCACCGGCUAACUCUGUGCCAGCAGCCGCGGUAAUACAGAGGGUGCGAGCGUUAAUCGGAAUUUACUGGGCGUAAAGCGAGUGUAGGUGGCUCAUUAAGUCACAUGUGAAAUCCCCGGGCUUAACCUGGGAACUGCAUGUGAUACUGGUGGUGCUAGAAUAUGUGAGAGGGAAGUAGAAUUCCAGGUGUAGCGGUGAAAUGCGUAGAGAUCUGGAGGAAUACCGAUGGCGAAGGCAGCUUCCUGGCAUAAUAUUGACACUGAGAUUCGAAAGCGUGGGUAGCAAACAGGAUUAGAUACCCUGGUAGUCCACGCCGUAAACGAUGUCUACUAGCCGUUGGGGUCCUUGAGACUUUAGUGGCGCAGUUAACGCGAUAAGUAGACCGCCUGGGGAGUACGGCCGCAAGGUUAAAACUCAAAUGAAUUGACGGGGGCCCGCACAAGCGGUGGAGCAUGUGGUUUAAUUCGAUGCAACGCGAAGAACCUUACCUGGUCUUGACAUAGUGAGAAUCCUGCAGAGAUGCGGGAGUGCCUUCGGGAAUUCACAUACAGGUGCUGCAUGGCUGUCGUCAGCUCGUGUCGUGAGAUGUUGGGUUAAGUCCCGCAACGAGCGCAACCCUUUUCCUUAUUUGCCAGCGGGUUAAGCCGGGAACUUUAAGGAUACUGCCAGUGACAAACUGGAGGAAGGCGGGGACGACGUCAAGUCAUCAUGGCCCUUACGACCAGGGCUACACACGUGCUACAAUGGUAGGUACAGAGGGUUGCUACACAGCGAUGUGAUGCUAAUCUCAAAAAGCCUAUCGUAGUCCGGAUUGGAGUCUGCAACUCGACUCCAUGAAGUCGGAAUCGCUAGUAAUCGCAGAUCAGAAUGCUGCGGUGAAUACGUUCCCGGGCCU